GUUUCCUUUUUUGGCCUUUUUUGAACAGUUCCUGGAAUGAAUUCUGGAGUGUUCCAUGUAUGCAUGGGUCAGAUUCCAAGCACUCCAGCUGAGGCUAAAAGAACCAAAGAGAAUUAUUAGCUGUUACUUAUGCUAGUAUUGGGGGAAAAUAUUCAAGUUCUACCUAGGUGACUCUUGAACCCCUUUUGAAAUGUGACAACGUAGCAGAUGCUGUUGAUGCUGCUGUCCACCCUUUCUGCCCGGUUGUUAGCGUCACCUUAGGUGACCAUCCCUUCCCUGUGAGUCUCAGUGGUAAAUUCUGACUAGUGAAAUCCUGACCAGGAUUCAUUCUCUUCCUUACCAAUGACCAGUUUAUGGGAGGCUCAUGGUCCAGUUUGAUUCCUGGCAAGUGAGGGGACCUUUCAAGAAAAGGUUUCUUUUCAUUGUGUGAAAUAAGCCUUUUUAAAAUUAUUUUAAGCCAUUGUAAACUGAGGGUUUUUAUUGUUGUUGGGAUUUUUGUUUUGUUAUUUUAAUUUUGGCCAAAACUACCGGGUUGAAAGACCAGUGUUUUACAGACUGACAUUCUAUUGAAUCUUAAAAUAGAAUAUAGCUUCUGAUUCUUGUGUUAAGCUUUCUGAAGUAAUUUAGAAACAAAACCCUCUAUGGAUUACAUGGCAAAAAAGGCAUGUUUCAACCAUAAAGUAAAUUGUUUUAAAAAUUUCCCUUAAUUUGGCCAGGCGCAGUGGCUCACGCUUGUAAUCCCAGCACUUUCGGAGGCCGAGGUGGGCGGAUCACCUGAGGUCAGCAGUUUGAGACCAACCUGGCCAACAUGGUGAAACCCCGUCUCUACUAAUAAUACAAAAAUUAGCCAGGUUGGUGGCGGGUGCCUGUAAUCCCAGCUACUCAGGAAGCUGAGGUAGGAGAAUCGCUGGAACCCAGGAGGCAGAGGUUGCAGUGAGCCGAGAUCGUGCCACUGCACUCCACCUGGGCGACAGAGCGAGACCCUGUCUC
rnacentral:lncRNA from 10 species